AUGCCAGGCCUCACUGGGGCGGGCGGCACCGGCACUUCGUCAGCAUCUGGGCCUCUCCUGGCUCUCCUCACUCCCU
rnacentral:miRNA from 1 species